UACGGAGGAGGCAAGCGUUAUCCGGAAUUAUUGGGCGUAAAGCGUCCGCAGGUGGCACUUCAAGUCUGUCGUCAAAGACUGGGGCUUAACCCUGGAAAGGCGGUGGAAACUGAAGCGCUAGAGUGCGGUAGGGGUAGAGGGAAUUCCCGGUGUAGCGGUGAAAUGCGUAGAGAUCGGGAGGAACACCAGUGGCGAAGGCGACUACCUGGCCUGUUCUUGACGCUGAGGCGCGAAAGCUAGGGGAGCAAACGGG
rnacentral:rRNA from 1 species